UUCCGUAGGUGAACCUGCGGAGGGAUCAUUACCGAGUUAUACAACUCAUCAACCCUGUGAACAUACCUAUAACGUUGCCUCGGCGGGAACAGACGGCCCCGUAACACGGGCCGCCCCCGCCAGAGGACCCCCUAACUCUGUUUCUAUAAUGUUUCUUCUGAGUAAACAAGCAAAUAAAUUAAAACUUUCAACAACGGAUCUCUUGGCUCUGGCAUCGAUGAAGAACGCAGCGAAAUGCGAUAAGUAAUGUGAAUUGCAGAAUUCAGUGAAUCAUCGAAUCUUUGAACGCACAUUGCGCCCGCCAGUAUUCUGGCGGGCAUGCCUGUUCGAGCGUCAUUACAACCCUCAGGCCCCCGGGCCUGGCGUUGGGGAUCGGCGGAAGCCCCCUGCGGGCACAACGCCGUCCCCCAAAUACAGUGGCGGUCCCGCCGCAGCUUCCAUUGCGUAGUAGCUAACACCUCGCAACUGGAGAGCGGCGCGGCCACGCCGUAAAACACCCAACUUCUGAAUGUUGACCUCGAAUCAGG
rnacentral:rRNA from 1 species